AACGCACCUUGCGCCCUUUGGUAUUCCGAAGGGCAUGCCUGUUUGAGUGUCAUUAAAUUCUCAACCUUGAAAGGCUUGUCUUUUCAAUGGCUUGGAUGUGAGGGUUUUGCUGGCUUCCUUUAGUGGAUGGUCUGCUCCCUUUAAAAGCAUUAGUGGGAUCCUUUGUGGACGGUCACUUGGUGUGAUAAUUAUCUACGCCGUUUGUACUGUGAAGCAAAACUUGUGGGAACCUGCUUAUAACCGUCUGUAAUGGACAAUUUUGAACCUUUGACCUCAAAUCAGGUAGGACUACCCGCUGAACUUAA
rnacentral:misc_RNA from 2 species